UUAGCAGCCUUGGAGGCCAGAGUCAUCUGUUUAUGCACAAAAUGGUUGCAGAAAUGAACAGUAGCAGUGCAGGCUUCUCCCCACUGCUCUGCUAAUGUACCUCAGAGUAGAAUGAAUGAUUACUAAGAGACAGAGUAAUUAAGUUGCCUGUUCAUUAACUCGUUGGCUUCU
rnacentral:sRNA from 1 species